rnacentral:rRNA from 1 species
AAUGAACGCUGGCGGCGUGCCUAAUACAUGCAAGUCGAGCGAACAGACGAGGAGCUUGCUCCUCUGACGUUAGCGGCGGACGGGUGAGUAACACGUGGAUAACCUACCUAUAAGACUGGGAUAACUUCGGGAAACCGGAGCUAAUACCGGAUAAUAUAUUGAACCGCAUGGUUCAAUAGUGAAAGACGGUUUUGCUGUCACUUAUAGAUGGAUCCGCGCCGCAUUAGCUAGUUGGUAAGGUAACGGCUUACCAAGGCGACGAUGCGUAGCCGACCUGAGAGGGUGAUCGGCCACACAGGAACUGAGACACGGUCCAGACUCCUACGGGAGGCAGCAGUAGGGAAUCUUCCGCAAUGGACGAAAGCCUGACGGAGCAACGCCGCGUGAGUGAUGAAGGUCUUCGGAUCGUAAAACUCUGUUAUUAGGGAAGAACAAAUGUGUAAGUAACUAUGCACGUCUUGACGGUACCUAAUCAGAAAGCCACGGCUAACUACGUG